rnacentral:rRNA from 1 species
AUUGAACGCUGGCGGCAUGCUUUACACAUGCAAGUCGAACGGUAACAGGCCGCAAGGUGCUGACGAGUGGCGAACGGGUGAGUAAUGCAUCGGAACGUGCCCAGUCGUGGGGGAUAACGCAGCGAAAGCUGUGCUAAUACCGCAUACGAUCUAUGGAUGAAAGCGGGGGACCGCAAGGCCUCGCGCGAUUGGAGCGGCCGAUGUCAGAUUAGGUAGUUGGUGGGGUAGAGGCUCACCAAGCCAACGAUCUGUAGCUGGUCUGAGAGGACGACCAGCCACACUGGGACUGAGACACGGCCCAGACUCCUACGGGAGGCAGCAGUGGGGAAUUUUGGACAAUGGGCGCAAGCCUGAUCCAGCAAUGCCGCGUGCAGGAAGAAGGCCUUCGGGUUGUAAACUGCUUUUGUACGGAACGAAACGGCGAGCUCUAAUACAGUUUGCUAAUGACGGUACCGUAAGAAUAAGCACCGGCUAACUACGUGCCAGCAGCCGCAGUAA